AUGGAUAGAUCCAGCAGGCAAAUUAUCAAUGAGGACAGAGUUGAACUCAACAACACUAUUAAUCAACUGGAGGUAAUGGAUAUCUGGAAGCAUGGCGGAAACGCGAAGCUUCGGGAAGACUUCAGGAUGCAGAAUAAAUCCGUCUUUUAUUUGGGCGCCAGUGGAGAAACCACCGGCAGAGUGCUCUUAAAGGAAAUCUGGGGCGGGCUUGUUUUCCAAAGUCACUCUCAUUGGCCGGAGGAAGCUCGCCUUCAACAAGGAAGUUUAUAAAAAUGUGAAUCAAUGAGUGGUGGACGUUGAAAGAUUGGAUUACUACGCUUCUGCCUUUCAAGGUCAUGAUGUUGGAUUCUGUUGCCUGGGUACCACCAGAGGGAAAGCUGGGGCGGAGGGAUUUGUUCGUGUUGAGCGAGAUGAUGUGCUGAAGUCUGCAGAGCUGGCAAAAGCUGGAGGGUGCAAACAUUUCAACUCUGUAUCUUCUAAAGGAGCUGAAAAGUGAAGCAGUUUUUUAAUACCUGCAAGUUAAGGGAGAAGUGGAAGCCAGAUCUGAAGAAUUAAAGUUUGAUCCGUAUUCUGUUUUUAGGCCUGGAGUUCUGUUGCGUGAUAGGCAAGAAUCUUGCCCAGGUAAUGUAUGUUUGCUUAGAAAGUUCGUUGGCUCCUUACCAGAUUCUUGGGCUACUGAGCAUUCUGUGCCUGUGGUGACUGUGGUUAGAGCAAUGCUGAACAAUGCGGUGAGAACAAGCGACAAGAUGAUGAUCCUGCUGGAAAACAAGGCCAUCCAUGACGUGGGGAAAGCGCACGGCUCUCUCAAGCCGUGAUCACACUGGAGAAAAGGUUUUUAGUGUCAACUUUAACACCUAUCACCAAAUCGGUAAUUUCAGGGUCCAAAAAAAGUCAGCAUAUUUUAACUUCGUUGUUUUACUAGUCUCAGGCAUCCAUUCCAAUCAAGAAAUGGUGGUGUUCUGCAUCAUUGGUUCAGAGCUUGGUUAUACAUAUAGAUCACCCAGGGAGCUUUGGAAAAGUAAAGAUUUGCAAGCUCUAUCUCAAACUUGAAUCAAAAUUUCUGGGGCAUGGGCACAAUAAUCUGUAAUUAUCCUUGUUUAUACUUCCCCUGAUGCCACUGGUUCUGAUGCCACUGGUUGGGAGGCCUCCUUUGAAAUGCUUGUAUGCAUAGUCACACAGCAGUGAAAACCUUAUGAACAUGCAAAUGAGCUCUGCUCUAAAAUUGUUGACAUUCAUGUCUGAGUUACAAAAGUGCUAAUUAACUGCAUGUAAUUGUGUAAGUAAACACUGUGCCUUUACUAAUUCUUUAUGUAAUAGAAGUUGCAUAUCUAAGCUUAUAUAAUACAUGGAGAGGACUAAAUAAAGGAAUAAAGAUAAAUGAAAAAAGAAAGAAAGAACAGAAGAAAGAGCUAAAAUAAAGCUUCCACCUUGGGAAACUAGUAAAACAAGAACAAAUCAAAUUAAAAGUAAGC